rnacentral:rRNA from 1 species
UGACCUCAAAUCAGGUAAGAGAACC